CAAUAGCGUAUAUUAAAGUUGUUGCGGUUAAAAAGCUCGUAGUUGGAUUUCUGUCGAAGACGGUCGGUCCGCUCUAUGAGCGUGUAUCUGAUUCGGCUUUGGCAUCCUCGUGGGGGACGUAACUGUGCUUGAUUGCAUGGUGCGGAAUUCACGACUUUUACUUUGAGGAAAUUAGAGUGUUCACGGCAGGCAAGCGCCUUGAAUAUAUUAGCAUGGAAUAAUAAUAUAGGACUUGGUUCGUAUUUUGUUUGGUUUUCUUAGGACUAAAGUAAAUAGAUUAAUUAAGGGAGUAAUUAGGGGGUCGGAUUUGUUAUUAACGUACGU
rnacentral:rRNA from 1 species